AGUGAACGCUGGCGGUAGGCCUAACACAUGCAAGUCGAACGGCAGCACAGUAAGAGCUUGCUCUUACGGGUGGCGAGUGGCGGACGGGUGAGGAAUACAUCGGAAUCUACUUUUUCGUGGGGGAUAACGUAGGGAAACUUACGCUAAUACCGCAUACGACCUACGGGUGAAAGCAGGGGAUCUUCGGACCUUGCGCGAUUGAAUGAGCCGAUGUCGGAUUAGCUAGUUGGCGGGGUGAAGGCCCACCAAGGCGACGAUCCGUAGCUGGUCUGAGAGGAUGAUCAGCCACACUGGAACUGAGACACGGUCCAGACUCCUACGGGAGGCAGCAGUGGGGAAUAUUGGACAAUGGGCGCAAGCCUGAUCCAGCCAUACCGCGUGGGUGAAGAAGGCCUUCGGGUUGUAGAGCCCUUUUGUUGGGAAAGAAAAGCAGCAGGUUAAUACCCCGCUGUUCUGACGGUACCCAAAGAAUAAGCACCGGCUAACUUCGUG
rnacentral:rRNA from 1 species